GAUGAACGCUGGCGGCGUGCCUAAUACAUGCAAGUCGAGCGAACAGAUGAGGAGCUUGCUCCUCUGACGUUAGCGGCGGAGGGGUGAGUAACACGUGGAUAACCUACCUAUAAGACUGGGAUAACUUCGGGAAACCGGAGCUAAUACCGGAUAAUAUAUUGAACCGCAUGGUUCAAUAGUGAAAGACGGUUUUGCUGUCACUUAUAGAUGGAUCCGCGCCGCAUGAGCUAGUUGGUAAGGUAACGGCGUACCAAGGCAACGAUGCGUAGCCGACCUGAGAGGGGGAUCGGCCACACUGGAACGGAGACACGGUCCAGACGACUACGAGACGCAGCAGUAGGGAAUCGUACGCAGUGGGCGAAAGCCUGACGGAGCAACGCCGCGUGAGUGAUGAAGGUCUUCGGAUCGUAAAACUCUGUUAUUAGGGAAGAACAAAUGUGUAAGUAACUAUGCACGUCUUGACGGUACCGAAUCAGAAAGCCACGGCUAACUACGUG
rnacentral:rRNA from 1 species